rnacentral:rRNA from 1 species
AUUGAACGCUGGCGGCAUGCCUAACACAUGCAAGUCGAACGAGUGGCGGACGGGUGAGUAAUGUCUUGGAAACUGCCCGCUGUAGGGGUCUAACUAUUGGAAACGGUAGCUAAUACCGCAUACCAUCGGAUGUGCCCAGAUGGGAUUAGCUAGUAGGUGGGGUAAAGGCUCACCUAGGCGACGAUCCCUAGCUGGUCUGAGAGGAUGACCGGCCACACUGGAACUGAGACACGGUCCAGACUCCUACGGGAGGCAGCAGUAGGGAAUAUUGCACAAUGGGCGCAAGCCUGAUGCAGCAAUGCGGCGUGUAUGAAGAAGGCCUUCGGGUUGUAAAGUACUUGCGGCGAGGAGGCGUUACUCACAGAAGAAGCAACGGCUAACUCCGUGCCAGCAGCCGCGGUAAUAC